AGAGUUUGAUCAUGGCUCAGGAUGAACGCUAGCUACAGGCUUAACACAUGCAAGUCGAGGGGGAAACGACAUCGAAAGCUUGCUUUUGAUGGGCGUCGACCGGCGCACGGGUGAGUAACGCGUAUCCAACCUGCCCACCACUUGGGGAUAACCUUGCGAAAGUAAGACUAAUACCCAAUGACGUCUCUAGAAGACAUCUGAAAGAGAUUAAAGAUUUAUCGGUGAUGGAUGGGGAUGCGUCUGAUUAGCUUGGUUGGCGGGGUAACGGCCGCCAAGGCUACGAUCAGUAGGGGUUCUGAGAGGAAGGUCCCCACAUUGGAACUGAGACACGGUCCAAACUCCUACGGGAGCA
rnacentral:rRNA from 1 species